UGCAUUCACUACUGUAAGUCGCUCUGGAUAAGAGUGUCUGCCAAAUGACUCACA
rfam:Salmo salar isolate Sally breed double haploid chromosome ssa28, whole genome shotgun sequence.